UGUUGAGUCAGCAAUCUGGAAAGACAAUUGGAACACAGAGAGCCAAGCAUUACGUUCAUUCGCAUCCUGAGUCAGAUUAGCCUUGUUGCUGAGAUCCAUGGAGCUGCCUCUCUUCUGCUGCUCUCUCUCCCUCAGGGUGGUUUCUCUGGAAUGGGGUUCACACAGUCUGCCAAUGCUACUGAUCAUCACACCACUAUCGAGAUCUUGUAGGCUCAUAGGUCCUAUAUAGUUGAUCCUUAUGGGAAAGUUUCAGUGGCAAGAAUUUGAAGCCUUGGUCACAUCCACAGUCAAGAGCAGAAAAAAA
rnacentral:lncRNA from 1 species